CGGAUUCGAACCACCUAACGAGGAACGAUCGAGGGCAAGUCUGGUGCCAGCAGCCGCGGUAAUUCCAGCUCCAAUAGCGUACGUUAAAGUUGCUGCAGUUAAAAAGCUCGUAGUUGAACGUUCGGGUUCCGCGGGACGGGGCCGCCCCGCGAGGGACGGCGCCGCCCCGGGGGCUCGUGAUAUCUCAUCUCGCCGCCCGUCGCGAGGCGGACGGAGGGAUGGAUGAGGUUACCUGGAAAAAAUCGGGGCGAUCUAGGCGGGCGAACCUCGCCAACGAACGAUCGGACAUGGGAUAACGGAAGAGGGGCGUCGGCUCGACUUCGUCGGGUUCCCUCGGGGCCGAGGCACGUACGGUGAAUAGGGACGGUCGGGGCCGCCCGUACCGGGUCGUGAGAGGUGAAAUUCUAGGAUCGACCCGAGACGAACCGCCGCGAAAGCAUUCGGCAAGGACGCUUUCAUUAAUCAAGAACGAAAGUCGGGGGGAUCGAAGACGAUCAGAUACCGUCGUAGUCCCGACCGUAAACGAUGCCGACCGAGGGCCCGGAGGAGUUACGUACGACCCCUCCGGGCCCUCCCGCGAGAAAUCAGGAGUAUUCGGGUUCCGGGGGG
rnacentral:rRNA from 1 species